rnacentral:rRNA from 1 species
AUUGAACGCUGGCGGCAUGCUUUACACAUGCAAGUCGAACGGUAACAGGCCGCAAGGUGCUGACGAGUGGCGAACGGGUGAGAAAUGCAUCGGAACGUGCCCAGUCGUGGGGGAUAACUACUCGAAAGAGUAGCUAAUACCGCAUACGAUCUAUGGAUGAAAGCGGGGGACCGUAAGGCCUCGCGCGAUUGGAGCGGCCGAUGUCGGAUUAGGUAGUUGGUGGGGUAAAGGCUCACCAAGCCAACGAUCUGUAGCUGGUCUGAGAGGACGACCAGCCACACUGGGACUGAGACACGGCCCAGACUCCUACGGGAGGCAGCAGUGGGGAAUUUUGGACAAAGGGCGCAAGCCUGAUCCAGCAAUGCCGCGUGCAGGAAGAAGGCCUUCGGGUUGUAAACUGCUUUUGUACGGAACGAAACGGCUCUGGUUAAUACCCGGGGCUAAUGACGGUACCGUAAGAAUAAGCACCGGCUAACUACGUG